GAUGAACGCUAGCUACAGGCUUAACACAUGCAAGUCGAGGGGCAGCGGGAUUGAAGCUUGCUUCAAUUGCCGGCGACCGGCGCACGGGUGAGUAACGCGUAUCCAACCUUCCGCUUACUCGGGGAUAGCCUUUCGAAAGAAAGAUUAAUACCCGAUGGUAUCUUAAGCACGCAUGAGAUUAAGAUUAAAGAUUUAUCGCUCUGAGAUGGCCUCGCGUCUGAUUAGCUAGUUGGCGGGGUAACGGCCCACCAAGGCGACGAUCAGUAGCCGGACUGAGAGGUUGGCCGGCCACAUUGGGACUGAGACACGGCCCAG
rnacentral:rRNA from 1 species